rnacentral:tRNA from 1 species
GGUGUAGUGCCGGAUUAAACGGAUCGCGGUGAUGAUGCGAAAUAUAUGAGAAACCUCUCUUCUUCACCU